AACAGACGAGGAGCUUGCUCCUCUGACGUUAGCGGCGGACGGGUGAGUAACACGUGGAUAACCUACCUAUAAGACUGGGAUAACUUCGGGAAACCGGAGCUAAUACCGGAUAAUAUAUUGAACCGCAUGGUUCAAUAGUGAAAGACGGUUUUGCUGUCACUUAUAGAUGGAUCCGCGCCGCAUUAGCUAGUUGGUAAGGUAACGGCUUACCAAGGCAACGAUGCGUAGCCGACCUGAGAGGGUGAUCGGCCACACUGGAACUGAGACACGGUCCAGACUCCUACGGGAGGCAGCAGUAGGGAAUCUUCCGCAAUGGGCGAAAGCCUGACGGAGCAACGCCGCGUGAGUGAUGAAGGUCUUCGGAUCGUAAAACUCUGUUAUUAGGGAAGAACAAAUGUGUAAGUAACUAUGCACGUCUUGACGGUACCUAAUCAGAAAGCCACGGCUAACUACGUGCCAGCAGCCGCGGUAAUACGUAGGUGGCAAGCGUUAUCCGGAAUUAUUGGGCGUAAAGCGCGCGUAGGCGGUUUUUUAAGUCUGAUGUGAAAGCCCACGGCUCAACCGUGGAGGGUCAUUGGAAACUGGAAAACUUGAGUGCAGAAGAGGAAAGUGGAAUUCCAUGUGUAGCGGUGAAAUGCGCAGAGAUAUGGAGGAACACCAGUGGCGAAGGCGACUUUC
rnacentral:rRNA from 1 species